rnacentral:lncRNA from 1 species
AAGCCGGAGAAUGAGGGCAGGAGGCCACCAGGGACCCCACAAGCCCUCAUGGCGCGGCCAGGGGGGCCCGCGCCCCCUGGCUUGUGGGCUCCCUGAGGCUCCUUUGCCCUAGGUUUUGCGCCUAUAUAUUCCCUAAAAUCCCAUAAAAAAUCAGGAGAUCAUCGAAAGUACUUUUCCACCGCCUCAAGCUUCUGUCUCCGCAAGAUCCUUUCUGGGGCACGUUCUAGUGCCCUACCGGAGGGGGGAUUUAGAUACGGAGGGCUUCUUCAUCAACACCAUGACCUCUCCGAUGAUGCGUGAGUAGUUCACCAUAGACCUACGGGUCCAUAGCUAGUAAUUAGAUGGCUUCUUCUCUCUCUUGGAUCUUCAAUACAAAGUUCUCCAUGAUCUUCAUGGAGAUCUAUCCUAUGUAAUCUUCUUUUCCGG